UAAUUAAAAGUUGCACUCUCCAGGCUCCGUCGAAUCUGUGAGCUCGUCCAACCUGUAAGUACAAACCCUAUCUUCCCCUUGUAAAUUCAUUGAAUGAUAUUAGGUUGUUUUGUUAAAGGGGUUCAUGACAAGAUCAAAUAAAGGUGUACUUUUGCUGGAAAUCAACACAAAAAGACACAGAUCACCAACUUCCAAAUGAUUGUCACGCACAACGUCCAUCCAACCACGCCUGAAUCUGGG
rnacentral:lncRNA from 1 species